GCGCCCGUCGUUCAAUGGAUAGGACAUCGAUCUUCGGAAUCGAUGAUGUGGGUUCGAUUCCUGCCGGGCGCACCA
rnacentral:tRNA from 2 species